GUCUACAGCCAUGCUACCCUGAAGAAGCUUAAACCUGUUUGAUCUCUGAAGCUAAGUAGGGUUGGGCCUGGUUAGUACUUGGAUGGGAGUCCACAUAGGAAGACCAGGUACUGUAGGUG
ensembl:rRNA 5S_rRNA 5S ribosomal RNA